rnacentral:rRNA from 1 species
AGAGUUUGAUCAUGGCUCAGAUUGAACGCUGGCGGCAGGCCUAACACAUGCAAGUCGAACGGUAACAGGAAACAGCUUGCUGUUUCGCUGACGAGUGGCGGACGGGUGAGUAAUGUCUGGGAAACUGCCUGAUGGAGGGGGAUAACUACUGGAAACGGUAGCUAAUACCGCAUAACGUCGCAAGACCAAAGAGGGGGACCUUCGGGCCUCUUGCCAUCAGAUGUGCCCAGAUGGGAUUAGCUAGUAGGUGGGGUAACGGCUCACCUAGGCGACGAUCCCUAGCUGGUCUGAGAGGAUGACCAGCCACACUGGAACUGAGACACGGUCCAGACUCCUACGGGAGGCAGCAGUGGGGAAUAUUGCACAAUGGGCGCAAGCCUGAUGCAGCCAUGCCGCGUGUAUGAAGAAGGCCUUCGGGUUGUAAAGUACUUUCAGCGGGGAGGAAGGGAGUAAAGUUAAUACCUUUGCUCAUUGACGUUACCCGCAGAAGAAGCACCGGCUAACUCCGUGCCAGCAGCCGCGGUAAUACGGAGGGUGCAAGCGUUAAUCGGAAUUACUGGGCGUAAAGCGCACGCAGGCGGUUUGUUAAGUCAGAUGUGAAAUCCCCGGGCUCAACCUGGGAACUGCAUCUGAUACUGGCAAGCUUGAGUCUCGUAGAGGGGGGUAGAAUUCCAGGUGUAGCGGUGAAAUGCGUAGAGAUCUGGAGGAAUACCGGUGGCGAAGGCGGCCCCCUGGACGAAGACUGACGCUCAGGUGCGAAAGCGUGGGGAGCAAACAGGAUUAGAUACCCUGGUAGUCCACGCCGUAAACGAUGUCGACUUGGAGGUUGUGCCCUUGAGGCGUGGCUUCCGGAGCUAACGCGUUAAGUCGACCGCCUGGGGAGUACGGCCGCAAGGUUAAAACUCAAUGAAUUGACGGGGGCCCGCACAAGCGGUGGAGCAUGUGGUUUAAUUCGAUGCAACGCGAAGAACCUUACCUGGUCUUGACAUCCACGGAAGUUUUCAGAGAUGAGAAUGUGCCUUCGGGAACCGUGAGACAGGUGCUGCAUGGCUGUCGUCAGCUCGUGUUGUGAAAUGUUGGGUUAAGUCCCGCAACGAGCGCAACCCUUAUCCUUUGUUGCCAGCGGUCCGGCCGGGAACUCAAAGGAGACUGCCAGUGAUAAACUGGAGGAAGGUGGGGAUGACGUCAAGUCAUCAUGGCCCUUACGACCAGGGCUGCACACGUGCUACAAUGGCGCAUACAAAGAGAAGCGACCUCGCGAGAGCAAGCGGACCUCAUAAAGUGCGUCGUAGUCCGGAUUGGAGUCUGCAACUCGACUCCAUGAAGUCGGAAUCGCUAGUAAUCGUGGAUCAGAAUGCCACGGUGAAUACGUUCCCGGGCCUUGUACACACCGCCCGUCACACCAUGGGAGUGGGUUGCAAAAGAAGUAGGUAGCUUAACCUUCGGGAGGGCGCUUACCACUUUGUGAUUCAUGACUGGGGUGAAGUCGUAACAAGGUAACCGUAGGGGAACCUGCGGUUG